CCUUCUUAAGCACCCACACGUGAGCUCUGUGUCACCUCCCCCACCCUGGGUUUUAUGGGCAUGCCUGGCACCACCCACUUGUUGGCCAGCUGGCCGUAAACACGUCACUUCUUUCUGUGCAGUGUUUCACAAGUGGCACAGCUGUCAUGACUUCGCAUCGUCCCCCUUCAGACCCUGAAAUCCUUGUGCAAUUUGCCAAUGGAGCGAACCCAACCCAUUUUUUUUUCCUCAAAGCUCCUCCUGGUUGCCUUCAUCUUGCAGCCGAAGCUACAUUUCUUUAGCAAGAUGCACUUAGCCACAUCCUUUCUGAAUGUUUGGAAAUGUCCAGGAAGAAACUGAGCACAGCCAGCAUUUUCUUCCAGUGCUGUCUUCCCCUGUGGACAGGACAGUCAUAACUGUGUCUUGGCCUCUGUCAUGGGCAAGAAGAAACCCUGGGUGGUGUCACUCAGAGUCAUAGAAUGGUUUGGUUUGGAAGAGACCACAAAGCCCACCCAGUCCCAAUCCCCUACCACGGGCAGGGCUGCCCCCCACCAGCUCAGCUGCCCAGGCCCCAUCCAACCUGCCCUUGAGCACCUCCCACAGUGGGGCACCCACAGCUCUCUGGGCAGCUCUGCCAGCACCUCACUGCCCUCCUAGGAAGGAGCUCUGUCAGACCAGCAGGGAUGUGUGUGUGAAAGUGGCACCGGAGGACUCAGCAUGCAAGUAAUCCUGCAGCUCAGGCAAAGCACGGGUGGGCGUAAAUCCCAUGUCCAGAUUAACAUUCCUGCCACUCACAAAAUAUGCCAGGAGCUUGCUGGGGCUUUUAAACACACCUGCGAGUGGCAAGUUAAAUUUGACCAUGGCUUACUUAUCUGACACAGCUUAAGAAUGUUCAGCAAUUUUGACAAAUCAAAUCAUUUAAAACGUUCUCAAAAAUGGGAGUUUACCCAUGCCAUUGCCUUUUAGGGCAGCUCUUUGUAUGUUCAGCCUUACUUUUAUCUGUAGAAGAUAGGUAAGUAUCAUCUGGAAGGGGGCUAUAGCUGGGAAAUUAAAUGAAGAUGUUAAUUCCCUGAUUGGAUGAAAAAAAAAUAAUAAUACAAUUCUGUUAUCAAAACAGGAUACAAUGUCAGGAAAUGGCCAACCAAAUAUUGUUGGUGCCAACAAGACUGUGAUUGUUCGUGACCUGGAAGCGCUGCAGCCAGGGGCCGUCCCACGGCCUGGGUGCCCCUCCCCGGUGAGGAGGAGGCAUUGCUGCUCUCCCUUUCUUCUCCCUGGGAAACCUAAAAAUAUCCCAGGACACAGCAGCAUCUGUUCUGUAAUUCUCCUGGGAAAAGAGAGGAAGAUUCACACACCAGUGAAAUGCGAGCGCAGGAACUCGACCUCAGCAAAGGGAAAAGAUGAAAGAGAAAGUGGGUACAAUGUGUUUCAGUGUUCCUACGUUGUCAGCAUGAGGAGGCAGGCCGGAAGCAUUUCGGUUGUCCUUUGUAGGAAAGUUAGAUAGAAACGACCAGCUGAGGCUUUUUGGAACUGCAGGAACAGUAUGGCUGGCUUGGAGACUCAGAACACUUUUUGCUUCAGAGCUCUUUCAGACUGUGGAUAUUGAUAAGGGGCAGAUGCAGCUCAGUGUCUGUGAGGGAGCCCCUUGUGCCUGUGCCAUGAUGCCAUUCCUCCUAUGCCUCAGUGCGUCACACGGAGACCCACAAUGAAGGUCCAUUCAGAGGUCCUAGCACACAGGUGACAUUUGCAGCUAGAGCUUUCCUUCAGCAGCAGGAUCACACAGUGCCUGUCAGGCUACCGGGGCUGUGGUGAUGGACAAGAAACCUGUUAGCACCAUCUCCAGCAAGUUUGCAGCUGGCACCAAGCUGAGGGGUGCGGUUUAUAGGCUGGAGGGAAAGGAUGGCAACCAGAGGGACAUAGAGAGGCUUGAGGAGUGGGCCUGCACUAACCUCAUGGCGUUCAACAGGGCUGAGUGCACGAUUACCAAGAAAAGGCCCUGGGGCUUUUGAAAAGAACCAUUGAAGUGCAUGUGUCUCCUUGCUGGAGUCCUGCUGCAAAGAACUGACGCUGUUCUAGAUGUCUGGGGUGUCUGAAUUCACCCAGAUAUUAUAGCAAUUUAAAGUUGAAUUGGGGUUAGUACUGAUUAAACACUUUCUGUCUCUAAAGUUGCCACGUUAAAACAAAGAAAAUUAUGGUAAUUUUAUGGGCUGCUGUCUUUUGUCAGACUUGAUGAACGGUGAAGUAUUUGAAAGGAUAAGCAGGUUAAAGGGUCCUAUGUGACUUCUUAGAAAACCCUGGGAGGAUAUUAUGUACGUUUCCAUUUCAAAGAAUAUCACCUGGUGUCCAGGCUAGUUAAAUCUCUCAGAAAGUGAAUUCUUACUUACCAUUAAAUUGGUUAAGAUUUACACCAACUAAAGACAAGAGGAUAAAGGAUCCCAUUGGUGGGGCUGGAAAUCUCCCUACAAAGGUAGUUACCCUCCAGUCGUUGGUACCGUGUGUUAAGUUUCUCUCUCCAGACUUUAUUACGGAAGAUUAAACACAAAAAUCAAGUUUGACAUCGACUGCAGGCCUCUGCUGAAGGUGUCUCUUUAGACAGAAAGCUUGUGCUUACAUUGUGCUGUGAUUAGCUGGGUUUUGUUGUGGGUCAUACGUAGCUUCAACUGUUUAACACACUGCACAUAGCGAGUAAAAUUCUGCCUGUAGAAAUGUCUCUGGGCAUUGACUUAAGUCACAGCCAACAACUUAAUGAGGCCAGGAGUUCAUUUACUUUACAUUGCUUUGUUGACACACGCUAAAUAUAUAUAAAUGUAAUGUUAUUACAGCGUGUAUGUGUAAUGUGGUCAUGCUGAAAUGCCUCACAGCCUGUCAGCGUCAGCCGUUGGCAUUUCCUGCCUGUCUGUAUCUCAGUUUAAUGCCUUGAUACUCCCUAGAAUCAUUUUAUAAUCUUGCAAUUAAUUUCCGAAGAAAAAAACCUAAAACCAUGGAAGUCAUCACCUCACUGGUUUCCAGUGUAUUUUGGAUUUACCCACGUGGAGUUUCCAAAUGUAGCUGCCUACUUAGUUCUGCCAGCAGAAUUUAUCUGCAAUUCAUCCGGAUAAAGAAGAGCUUGCUCAGAUAUUUGCAAAAGAACGCUUCUAACUGGAUCAAGGUAUAGCAGCUGAUGUUCAGAGACACCGUUCAAGGAAGAACAAGAACAUUUUCUGGCAUUUACACUGGCCAAUUCCAGGAGGACUCUCCUCUCAAAAUCAAACUCUGGUUUCUUUCCCAGGAAGUUUUCUUUAGAUAAGAGGCAUUCAAUCCCAUAUCAUGUGAAAUAUUUACUGGAAAUUAGUGUGUAAGCCUUAUUUUAUCCACUCGCUUUCACUUAGCAUUAUAUGUGUGUACAUAAAUCUCUUAAUUUUGACAGCUGUGCAAAGAUCUCUUUUUUUUCUUUUUCCUCUUUCUUCCCAGUAGACUUUGCAUGAACAACCCUUGUGACUACAGCUAAGUAUUUCAAUAGUCUGAUUUUCUGCAGGCCUUUUGUAUUCCAGCCACUCCAUUCUGGUUGCAAAUGAAUCAGAUAUUACAGCUUAAGG
ensembl:lncRNA